CCAGUUCUGGGCGACGGCAGUGGAGGAAGUCGGUGUGAGUCCGACGCGGUCCCGCCACUGUCACCGGGGAUGUGACGCCCGUGUUCGUGACCACCGCGAGAGCGGGAAGGUCGGGCGGCCGCAGCUGAUCCGGGAGCCAGGAGACUCGCUGCCGUCGCGGUACCCCC
rfam:Pseudonocardia sp. 73-21 SCNpilot_cont_1000_p_scaffold_148, whole genome shotgun sequence.